UACGAAGGGGGCAAGCGUUGUUCGGAAUUACUGGGCGUAAAGGGCGCGUAGGCGGUGCGUUAAGUCAGAUGUGAAAGCCCUGGGCUCAACCCGGGAAUUGCAUUUGAUACUGGCGCGCUAGAAUCCAGGAGAGGUUGGUGGAAUUCCCAGUGUAGAGGUGAAAUUCGUAGAGAUUGGGAAGAACACCGGUGGCGAAGGCGACUUACUGGACACAUAUUGACGCUGAGGUGCGAAAGCGUGGGGAGCAAACAGG
rnacentral:rRNA from 1 species